rnacentral:lncRNA from 1 species
CUGGAAGGUGCCAGGCAGUUCCCAGGCUCCCUGAGCGAUGAGUCUAGCAGCCCCUCUCCAAGGGUGUGGCUUGGAUGCCUGCCAAGCUGGGUUUGUCACUAAGUGCUUAUGCUGUGCACCUAACCUUGCACAGACGGAGAAACUGAGGCACGAGCUUCUGUCACUUGCCGGAGGUCACACAGCUCAUAGGUGGCAGAG